rnacentral:snRNA from 1 species
GUAUUCUGGUUUUUCUUCAAAACGUAUAAAUCUUUCGCCUUUUACUAAAGAUUUCCGUGGAGAGAAACAAUUUUGAGUUCUAAACCAAUUUUUUGUAAGCCUUCCUUAAUGCGAGGCUG